UAAUGUAAAUUGUUACUCUGUACAAGAAGUUGACAAUCCUUGUAUAUGUUGAGUUUUUGAGAAUAUAUGUUUUCUAAAAAGAUAAAACAACGAAAUGUGAUUUGAAUUAAUGAAAUCUCUUAUAGAGAAUAUAUAAACUGUAAUCUGCAUGCAAAGAAUACAUUGAUUUUGCAUACGAUAUUCGAAGAGACGCCUUUUUCCCUUUUAUCUACAGAAGAAUAUAGUUUGUUUUGCUUUAAAAUAACUUAGAUGCAAUAACUCAGAGAGAACAUGUGGAUCUGGUUGCGUUUAAGAUCAGUGAACGUCUCAUUCAGCAAGAACAUGGCUAAGUUGAAAUAUCAAGGAUACCAAUGGAAACGAAGUUCAAGACUGCGAAGCAAGCGUUUCAUUGUGCUUCUCAUCAGACAACUAAUGCGAAAUCUUUCACAUUAGAUGGAUAUCUAGCCCCAAACCCCCAAAAUAAACUGUAACCCAGAUCAGCAUAAACUGAAAUAGCACAGAAUAUACUAAAACCAACUAGUCUUGAAAGUACCAUGAAGCAUACGAAUGAUACUUUACAUCCACCACCAUUUGUUUUUCUAUGGAUUUAUCAAAACAUGUAACUAACUAGACAGCUUAAUAUUUCCUAAUUAUGAAACAAAGAUAAAGACACUUUGAUGCAACAGCACAGAUUUGUUCCGUGGAAAACUUUUUACGCAUGAGCUGAAAUAAUUUCGUAAAGGCAACUUUAUUAACGACUCAAAUAUCAUAUUAAUGUUAAAGAUUCCCUCUCACCAUUUCUGUUUUGCCAUAAACUGUUAUUAGGCCACCUCCCAAAUAUAUAAUAUCUAAUUGGAAUGUUUAUAUAAGAUCUAGAGAAAAAGUGAUAAAAUAAACCGGAUUUAUUUUUAUCUAUUCGAA